rnacentral:rRNA from 1 species
GAUGAACGCUGGCGGCGUGCCUAAUACAUGCAAGUCGAACGCUUCACUUCGGUGAAGAGUGGCGAACGGGUGAGUAAUACAUAAGUAACCUGGCAUCUACAGGGGGAUAACUGAUGGAAACGUCAGCUAAGACCGCAUAGGUGUAGAGAUAGCAUGAACUCUAUAUGAAAAGUGCUACGGGACUGGUAGAUGAUGGACUUAUGGCGCAUUAGCUGGUUGGUAGGGUAACGGCCUACCAAGGCGACGAUGCGUAGCCGAACUGAGAGGGUGACCGGCCACACUUGGACUGCGACACGGCACGGGCUCCAGCGGGAGGCAGCAGUAGGGAAUUUUCGGCAAUGGGGGAAACCCUGACCGAGCAACGCUGCGUGAAGGAAGAAGUAAUUCGUUAUGUAAACUUCUGUCAUAGAGGAAGAACGGUGGAUAUAGGGAAUGAUAUCCAAGUGACGGUACUCUAUAAGAAAGCCACGGCUAACUACGUGCCAGCCGCCGCGGUAA